rnacentral:rRNA from 1 species
AUUGAACGCUGGCGUCAUGCUUUACACAUGCAAGUCGGACGGUAACAGGUUAAGCUGACGAGUGGCGAACGGGUGAGUAAUGCAUCGGAACGUGCCCGGUCGUGGGGGAUAACGCAGCGAAAGUUGCGCUAAUACCGCAUACGAUCUGAAGAUGAAAGCGGGGGACCGUAAGGCCUCGCGCGAUCGGAGCGGCCGAUGUCAGAUUAGGUAGUUGGGGGGGUAAAGGCUCACCAAGCCAACGAUCUGUAGCUGGUCUGAGAGGACGACCAGCCACACUGGGACUGAGACACGGCCCAGACUCCUACGGGAGGCAGCAGUGGAGAAUUUUGGACAAUGGGCGAAAGCCUGAUCCAGCAAUGCCGCGUGCAGGAAGAAGGCCUUCGGGUUGUAAACUGCUUUUGUACGGAGCGAGAAGGUCUCCUCUAAUACAGGGGGCUCAUGACGGUACCGUAAGAAUAAGCACCGGCUAACUACGUGCCAGCAGCCGCCGUAA